UCAUACUGAACUCUUUCCUCAGCUCUGUGAUCAGGUCCUGGUUCACCAGGUCCUCCUGCCGCAGACCCUUCAUCGCUUUGUCCUUCUCUGCAGACCAGAGGAGACGGCGGUCACAUUCUACUCUGUGAGCCACAAACCAUCAGCACGAACAGAAUUGAACUGGAUUCAACUUUAGAGCUGAUCGUAGGUCGUCACGGUGGAAAAGCGAGACGCUGUUUGGACAACGCCGUCUUACUCCGCGGUGACCUCCUGACCCCGAAACAAGUCCCACAUGUUUGUGUGAUUAGCUGCAGCGCUGUGGUCCAGUCCUGAGGGACUGUGACUCACUCACAGUCUGUCCCCGUCAAAGACUCCCACUAUGCUGACAUGAUGAAUGAGCACGCUGCUGUAAUCCAGGCAUGAACACAUGAACGCAAUCAUCCUCAUAUACACCCAGGAAAAUAUUGGUCUGCUCUUUAAAUUGAAUUACUGGACGUUUGAAGCCUCCACAACCUGGUACCUAAAUGUUUAUAGUACAUUUGGCUUCGGCACAACUUUCCCGAGCAGUGGGUUCAACUCCAGGUCGACCAGGACGUUAAAGAAGGUGAGACCGCUGUGUUUUCUUUUUGGAAAAAACCUGUAAAUUCACUAAUCUGUGAUUUUAUAUUGUAAUCGUAUGUCAGACGUGUGUUUUAUGGCACAGGGCCCGAGCCUGACGUUCAUCAGGAAGUAUCCAACUCUGAUCCUCUAUGUUUGCAGCAAGAACCUUCCCCGAGGGACGAGGACGUGGUCUUUGGCUGGUCGACGUCUACAGAUUCUCUGAAAAUACCCAAUCAAGGGUUGGCUCCUUCACAGACCGAGGUCUACGUGGCCAACAAAGGUGGUGACGUUCACCUGGAACAGGUCUGGCUGAGAAGAAUCCCAUCUUUGGAAUCUUCAUUCCUUGGGUUGGAAGGACACAUUUAGAGAAGCACUGAAAAUGGGACAGUGAAAGGACAAUGACAGUAGAUCUGAUCCAGGACGUCAACUCUACAAAGAACGCCAGAAUCUGACCUGUGAGUGGAGGUGCCAUCAGCCAGCAGCUCCUGAACUCAGUCACAGCUGAACCAGUUGAUGAUGACGCCAUGAAGACUUGGUUGUAGAAGAAUGUCCGAUGCCUCCUGAGGGAAGGAAACCACAGGGAUGGGAUUCAUCAGUGCAGGAGGGCAUGUGGGAAACAUAAUCCGUAAUGUGAACCACGUGGCCAUUGAUCUUUUCUGAAGACGUCUCAGAGGCAACAUGAGCCGACGGCUGCUGAAUGGAUUUAUUAACAUGCUAUGAAAGACGUCGUAUAGAUAUAUAGAUGUCAUAUAAAGUGUCCACACGGGUAUCACCAAUCUGUCCCACAAAAUUUGUCUCUUGUGUAGUGCAGUCAUGUUUUUUAUGUUUUUCAUGCUCUCACUGCAUGACAAAUUCCCUUUUGAGGCAAUAAAUCAUUCAUUUAUUCAUAAAGCACCAGAUGUAAAUGUGUGAGAUGCAAAUCUAGUGUUGGUAGAAGAAACUUGAAGCCGUGUUCAUGAGUCUCUGAGGUCUGUAUGACAUCAAUUUCACCAUCAACCCACGUCUCCUGAAAUAACUGUUCUAUGUUACAUGUGUAGCACAUUUACUUUGAUCAUUUAUCCCAGUGAUCAUUCCUUUCCUGUCCAGAUGGUGGCGCAGGAUUUUUGGUUUGCUUGUGAAAUGGUGAUCGAAGAAGAUGUGGACGAUCUUGGGUGUCUGUUUUUUUGAGGCAGCACUGGAGACGAGAUGAACCAACAAGUCCAGAACCUUUAACGGAUUCAAUGUCACAGACAUGACUCUUUCUGCCACCACUGCCACCUACUGGAAUGGAGUGGAAUAGGA